GAAGUGCCUACCAAAGGAAACCGUUAGGCUUAGAUAGCAUCACAGUCGCUCAAGGUAACUUCAGCUGCAGCCCACGCCCUGUGUGGGCCUUCCCUCAGCCAUGUGAGAACCCGUGACGACAAUGCAGACAAGCUUGGCCGCCACCUUGCUCCCGGGUCUCAGGAUGUGCAGGGUUGGGCACAUCAGUAGCUGAAAGCCUCUCUGACCACGGCCAGGCUCAGGAAGGGACUUCUUGGCGUGUUCUAUUUGCUUCCUCUGGUUAGCCUGUCCCGCCUUGCUGAAGCACCUCUCCUCAGGCACCUGGACUUCCACCCGUCUCUGGGGAGAGAGUCAUUGCCUGCCUGCCCCACUGACUCUGUCUGUGCUCUCUUCAUAUGAGUCAGCGCUUGAGCUCCUACUGUGGACCAGGCACUGCUCUGUGCUCUGGGGAUUCAAGAUGGAACAAAACAGACAAGCUCCUUGCUGUGGCCUGAAUGGUUACAACCUCCCCAAAUUCACAUGUUGGAAUCCUAACACCCAAUGUGAUGAUGUUAGAAGAGUACAUCAUGAGAAACACUGGGCUGGAGGAAGCACAAGCUGGAAUCAAGAUCGCUGAGAGAAAUAUCAAUAACCUCAGAUAUGCAGAUGACACCACCCUUAUGGCAGAAAGUGAAGAAGAACUAAGGAGCCUCUUGAUGAAAGUGAAAGAGGAGAGUGAAAAAAUUGGCUUAAAGCUCAACGUUCAGAAAACUAAGAUCAUGCCAUCUGGUCCCAUCACUUCAUGGCAAAUAGAUGGGGAAACAGUGGAAACAGUGUCAGACUUUAUUUUUCUGGGCUGCAAAAUCACUGCAGAUGGUGAUUGUAGCCAUGAAAUUAAAAGACUCCUUGGAAGGAAAGUUAUGACCAACCUAGACAGCAUAUUUAAAAGCAGAGACAUUACUUUGUCAACAAAGGUCCAUCUAGUCAAGACUAUGGUUUUUCCAGUGGUCAUGUAUGGAUGUGAGAGUUGGACUGUGGAGAAAGCUGAGCGCCGAAGAAUUGAUGCUUUUAAACUGUGGUGCUGGAGAAGACUCUUGAGAGUCCCUUGAACUGCAAGGAGAUCGAACCAGUCCAUCCUAAAGGAGAUCAGUACUGGCUGUUCACUGGAGGGACUGAUGUUGAAGCUGAAACUCCAGUACUUUGGCCACCUGAUGCAAAGAGCUGACUUAUUGGAAAAGACCCUGAUGCUGGGAAGGAUUGAGGGCAGGAGGAGAAGGGGAUGACAGAAGAUGAGAUGGUUGGAUGGCAUCACCGAUUCAAUGGAUGUGGGUUUGGGUAGACUCCGGGAGUUCGUGAUGGACAGGGAGGCCUGGCGUGCUGCAGUUCACAGGGUUGCAAAGAGUCGGACACGACUGAGCGACUGAACUGAACUGAACUGAAUUUAUAACUACUUAAGGAGCAUGAGAAUUUUUUUAUAGUGUGUUCUGGUCUAUGAUUUUUCUCACAUGCUUAACGGAAUUUAUAAGAAAAAACUUUUUAAAAUUUAUUAAGGAGAGAAUGUGAUAAAUGGAACAAGCAGCAUCGACAUAUAGGUACUGCCAUGUAUGCCUGGUGAGACGUUGAGGUGUAACGCAGGGAGCCCAGCCUGUGAGGACCUAGAAGGGUAGGAUGGGGGGAGGGAGGCUCAAGAGGAAGGUGAUAUAUGCAUAAUUAUGUCUGAUUUGCAUUGUUGUAUGGCAGAAACCAACGCACUGUAAAGCAACUUUCCUCCACUUAAAAAUAAACUAAAAUUAAAAAAAUUAUUUUAUGUAUUUUUGGCCAUGCUGGGUCUUUGUUGCUACACUUGGGCUCUCUCUCUAGUUGCAGUGGCUUCUCUAGGGUGCACUGGUUUCAGUAGUUGCGGCAUGUGAGCUUAGUUGCUCUGAGGCAUAUGUGGAAUCUUCCCGGAGCAGAGACCAAACCUGUGUCUCCUGCAAAGGCAGGAAGAUUCUUAUCCACAGUACCAACAGGGAAAUCCAGGAAAAACUUUUAAAGGACUUUUAAUUCAUUCCAGUCACUGAAUCUAUCAUGCUAGUAGUCACCCAGGUUACUAACACUGCCUUCAGUCACAAUGUAACUUCUAAAAUCAAAUCAUUCCCCACAUUAUGAAACCUGUGAUUGUUGG